GACGAACGCUGGCGGCGUGCCUAAUACAUGCAAGUCGAGCGCAGGAAACCGUCUGAACCCUUCGGGGGGACGACGAUGGAAUGAGCGGCGGACGGGUGAGUAACACGUAAAGAACCUGCCCACGGGUCUGGGAUAACCACGAGAAAUCGGGGCUAAUACCGGACGGGUCAUCGGACCGCAUGGUCCGACGAUGAAAGGCGCUCGGGCGUCGCCCGUGGAUGGCUUUGCGGUGCAUUAGCUAGUUGGUGGGGUAACGGCCCACCAAGGCGACGAUGCAUAGCCGACCUGAGAGGGUGAGCGGCCACACUGGGACUGAGACACGGCCCAGACUCCUACGGGAGGCAGCAGUAGGAAAUCUUCCACAAUGGACGAAAGUCUGAUGGAGCAACGCCGCGUGAACGAUGAAGGCCCUCGGGUCGUAAAGUUCUGUUGUAAGGGAAGAACAAGUGCCGCAGGCAAUGGCGGCACCUUGACGGUACCUUGCGAGAAAACCACGGCUAACUACGUGCCAGCAGCCGCGGUAA
rnacentral:rRNA from 1 species